UACGGAGGGGGCUAGCGUUGUUCGGAAUUACUGGGCGUAAAGCGCACGUAGGCGGCUUUGUAAGUUAGAGGUGAAAGCCCAGGGCUUAACUCUGGAAUUGCCUUUAAGACUGCAUCGCUAGAAUCGUGGAGAGGUGAGUGGAAUUCCGAGUGUAGAGGUGAAAUUCGUAGAUAUUCGGAAGAACACCAGUGGCGAGGGCGACUCACUGGACACGUAUUGACGCUGAGGUGCGAAAGCGUGGGGAGCAAACAGG
rnacentral:rRNA from 1 species